rnacentral:rRNA from 1 species
GAUGAACGCUGGCGGCGUGCCUAAUACAUGCAAGUCGAGCGAAUGGAUUAAGAGCUUGCUCUUAUGAAGUUAGCGGCGGACGGGUGAGUAACACGUGGGUAACCUGCCCAUAAGACUGGGAUAACUCCGGGAAACCGGGGCUAAUACCGGAUAACAUUUUGAACCGCAUGGUUCGAAAUUGAAAGGCGGCUUCGGCUGUCACUUAUGGAUGGACCCGCGUCGCAUUAGCUAGUUGGUGAGGUAACGGCUCACCAAGGCAACGAUGCGUAGCCGACGUGGGAGGGUGAUCGGCCAACCUGGGACUGAGACACGGCCCAGACUCCUACGGGAGGCAGCAGUAGGGAAUCUUCCGCAAUGGACGAAAGUCUGACGGAGCAACGCCGCGUGAGUGAUGAAGGCUUUCGGGUCGUAAAACUCUGUUGUUAGGGAAGAACAAGUGCUAGUUGAAUAAGCUGGCACCUUGACGGUACCUAACCAGAAAGCCACGGCUAACUACGUGCCAGCAGCCGCCGUAA